rnacentral:rRNA from 1 species
CCUACGGUGUGCAGCAGUGGGGAAUCUUCCACAAUGGGGGAAACCCUGAUGCAGCGACGCCGCGUGAGUGAAGAAGUAUUUCGGUACGUAAAGCUCUAUCAGCAGGGAAGAAAAUGACGGUACCUGACUAAGCAUCCCCUGCUAAAUACGUGCCAGCAGCCGCGGUCAUACGUAGGGGGCACGCGUUCUCCGGAUUUACUGGUGGUAAAGGGGGCGGAGACGGCAUCACAAGUCUGGAGUGAAAUGCCGCGGCUUAACCCCGGAACGGCAUUGGAAACUGUGCGGCUAGAGUGCAGGAGAGGUAAGUGGAAUUCCAAGUGUAGCGGUGAAAUGCGUAGAUAUUAGGAGGAACACCAGUGGCGAAGGCGGCUUACUGGACUGUAACUGACGUUGAGGCUCGAAAGCGUGGGGAGCAAACAGGAUUAGAUACCCGAGUAGUC